rnacentral:sRNA from 1 species
UAAUGACAACAGAAAAGGAGCUGGACUGCAAUCCAACUCCCACGUAGAACCGUUUAAGACGGUGGCUCAGUUUAACGAUUUAAUC